rnacentral:rRNA from 1 species
UACGGAGGGUGCAAGCGUUAUCCGGAUUUAUUGGGUUUAAAGGGUCCGCAGGCGGGCCUGUAAGUCAGAGGUGAAAGCCGGCAGCUUAACUGUCGAACUGCCUUUGAAACUGCAGGUCUUGAGUGAAAUUGAAGUGGCUGGAAUGUGUAGUGUAGCGGUGAAAUGCUUAGAUAUUACACAGAACACCGAUAGCGAAGGCAGGUCACUAAAUUUUAACUGACGCUGAGGGACGAAAGCGUGGGGAGCGAAC